ACCCCGGGAAACCGGGGCUAAUACCGGAUAAUACUUUCUUUUGCAUAAAGGAAAGUUGAAAGGCGGCUUCGGCUGUCACUUACAGAUGGGCCCGCGGCGCAUUAGCUAGUUGGUGAGGUAACGGCUCACCAAGGCGACGAUGCGUAGCCGACCUGAGAGGGUGAUCGGCCACACUGGGACUGAGACACGGCCCAGACUCCUACGGGAGGCAGCAGUAGGGAAUCUUCCGCAAUGGACGAAAGUCUGACGGAGCAACGCCGCGUGAGUGAUGAAGGUUUUCGGAUCGUAAAACUCUGUUGUUAGGGAAGAACAAGUUGGGUAGUAACUGACCCAACCUUGACGGUACCUAACCAGAAAGCCACGGCUAACUACGUGCCAGCAGCCGCGGUAAUACGUAGGUGGCAAGCGUUGUCCGGAAUUAUUGGGCGUAAAGCGCUCGCAGGCGGUCCUUUAAGUCUGAUGUGAAAUCUCGCGGCUCAACCGCGAACGGUCAUUGGAAACUGGAGGACUUGAGUACAGAAGAGGAGAGUGGAAUUCCACGUGUAGCGGUGAAAUGCGUAGAGAUGUGGAGGAACACCAGUGGCGAAGGGCGACUCUCUGGUCUGUAACUGACGCUGAGGAGCGAAAGCGUGGGGAGCGAACAGGAUUAGAUACCCUGGUAGUCCACGCCGUAAACGAUGAGUGCUAGGUGUUAGGGGGUUUCCGCCCC
rnacentral:rRNA from 1 species